rfam:Triticum aestivum genome assembly, contig: Triticum_aestivum_CS42_TGACv1_scaffold_580313_7BL
ACAUGGCGGUGAUGAUAAACACUAUCAGCAAACAUGCUAGUUCUGCUUCUGACAAUUCAUCACUGAAAAGCCUGUUAUAUAGAACUGAGCCAUGA